ensembl:rRNA 5S_rRNA 5S ribosomal RNA
CCACAUCGUCAUACCACCCUGAAUGCACUGAUCUCAUCUGAUCUUGAAGCUAAACAGGAUCAUCGCUGGUUAGCAUUAGGAUGGGAAAAGGCAUACAAUAUUAA